UCUCUCUCUCUCUCUCUCUCUCUCUCUCUCUCUCUCUCUCUCUCUCUUUCUUUCUUUCUUUUCCUCUCUCAAGUAUAUUAAUGUGGCCCCUCCAUCUACAUAUAUAGCGUCCUAACGUGACGCAUACACAAUAACGUGAUACGCUCAUGCUCGCUCAUUUCACGUUCACCACGACAUCUAAUUUCACACGCAAUCCACAUAUCUCUCCUGCCGUACUUAUGUAAUAGUCGCAUGACAUAUGACAGUUUGGUCCUAGUAAUAUAUGGGUGCGUACAGGUACAUAAGGAUACGAAAUUCGUCGUUUUCGUCGUAACACGCACAGAUUUUGAGCUCCUCAUACCCCUCUCACGGAUAAUCACCAUGGUGGUGUCAGAUGAUCGAUGCUGAAUAGCAGGAAAUAUAACUUACAAACCAUAGCUAACAGAAUGGCUCUUUUUGUGCAGCGUUUCCCAAUCGUUUCCGUUUUUGCCGAUUAAUUUAACGAGCCUUGACCUUUUACGUUUUCUAAGUAAAUUUUUUACCAUUUAUAAUUAUGAAGAUAUCGUAUUGUGUUCGUUCUGAAAAGGUGGAAAGGUGUAUGUAAUAUAAAGAAAAUCUUAUGAAUUCAUGAACUACCUUUGGAUAUAAUAUCUGCUUACUAUUUCUAAGCUAAACAUUUUCACUUUUUGUAAACAAUACGUAGAUUGGGAAAUGUUGAUUUGUUUAAUCAAGAUGCGACAAUAAUACGUAUAUAUUGCUUAAUAGCAAAACAAUAAAUUGUAUAAGUAUGACUACUUAUGAAAUUAUAAUGACGUGAUUCGGCAAUUUUGUUUCUUAGAUACAACAAAUGAUUUCAACUACUGUUCUGUCGUUGUAAAAUGUUUUAAUUCAUUUGUGCUCAAAAUGUCGAAAACAAUGCGUGAAUUUUAAGAAACUUUCAUGUUUUAAUUCAGUAUAUUAUUGCCAGAUAAAAGCGUGAAAAAUAUUUUUCUAACAAAAAAGACACUAAUUUUUUAAUACGCCUCUACUACAAAUAAUAGUUCCGAGCAAAGAUGAAUUAAAAUGAAUUUAAUAUUUCAUACAACGCUAUUUGUAUUACAGAUUCAAUAAAUACGUUAUUAUUGUCGUUGCUUGAUUCAAUCAUAUAUUCUGCGUUAUAUUUCCAUCUCAUUCAUGGGUGUUCAUUAAAUAUUAUUUUCUCUUUUAUAUUACUUCACCUACGAUCGUACUUAAUCGCAUCAGUAUCGUUUCAUCCGAUAACCGAUUAAUUUCCGACAUAUCAGAAUAUAUCUGCUAAAUCGAAUAGCAAUUCAAUUAACAUUUAAUCCUUUCGCAAUGCAAUAUGUUUUCCCUAUUUUCCAUUAGGCGGCCUGCAUUAAUUUAUCGUACAAUUAAUACGCGCUUCUGUUCAUAUGAAUAUCUUAGCGCGAAGUAUUUUUAUGAUGUAUAAAUAAUUUUGAGAGAAUUAUAUAUGACAUUUAGUUUGAAAUAAAAUUACACACGAUAAGGUACGCAAUUGAAAUUAAUUCAAUGAAUGCAAAGAGUUUGAGUAAAUAGGGAAAACAACGGAAGAAAUAAAAUAAAACAAAGUAGUUAACCGAAGAAAGAAUCGCUAUUGAAACUAUUGGAUGAUUCACGAAAUUGGAAUCCAAAGGAAAUGCAAUGGAAAGUAAUUGUCAUGCUGUUCGUAAUGCAUCACGAUCUAACGGAUGCACGAAGAAAUAAAGAAACAAAAUAAUGUAUGUAUAUCUCUAUCAUACAUACCGUCGCAAUAAUCGAUCGAUAUUUUAUAUUUUUUUCCUGUAAGACAAAAGUUUGUCCACUUUAGCUCUUUGCAAAUAUGCGCGUAUCGAUCGUAUUUUUGUAAAUCCUCUAGAAACCAAUUUCAUCUGAAGUUCACGCUGCCAUCAGAUAUUUGAACGUCUCAUAACGUAAAAUUGUUUUGCAACGAAUCGCGAUAAAAAGAAAAAAACAAACUAGAUCGCAGAGAGUUAAAAUGCUCGGACAACGUUUGUCGACGGUAGAAUACUUGACCAUUUGAGUGCAGAGGAUCGUGACCGCGUUCCUCGAUACUCGGACAAGAAAUACGAAAAGCACAGAAACGCUUCUCAUAUUUCUUCCGUUAUAAAACAACUAUUGGACAUGCAUAACAUCGUAUGUCCAGCAGUUGUGCCUUUACAUUGAGAAAAUCGUUCGUGAUUCACUGUUAUUUGAUCAGUAUCAGUUAAUAAACUUUUUAAAUAGUGUUAAAAAAUAAAGGCAACAUUUCUUUCUGUCUCGAAUCCUUCAUUUUACCCAAACUCCCAAAACACAUUCUAUUAUUUAAAAUCUACAAUUUAAAUGUAUAUAUAAAACUACUCUCUGCACUCAAAUGGUUCGAUCAAUGUUUAACGAGAUUUUAAUUGUCGUAUAAGAUCGUUUUGCGAUAACAAAUACAGGCGAGCUGAAACAAUCGGAAUGGAAUUAAAUUAAUUAUGUAAACUGUAAUGAAUUUAACUUGAAUCUCGAAUGCAUACUUUUUAGUAAACACUGUUGAUACAAUGAUAGUGUAAAUGGAUUAAAAAAUCUUGUAUGUGUGUUAGAAUUAUUCGUAGGCAAUUAGAAAACGUAAAGUUUCUUAGUCGUUCACAUUCAUGGCUUCCUUCUUUCGUAUUUCCGCUCAUUCUUCGUCACGCAAAGAUGAAAAAUUCAAGUAUUAGUCAUUUGUCCAAUUAGCUUAAUAUAUAAUGUCGAUAUUUUAAAAACAACAGUGUCGAUAGAAUCGACUUUCGAUCUGAUCAUAUAAAUGUUUAAUUAUUAUUCGAAAUUGUUUUAGAGGUUAGAAACUGCUCGAAACGUCUUCUGUAGUUCACAGUGGGAAGAUAUACGAAAAAUUGCGAUACAAUACAAUAUUAUGAAAGUUACUACUAAAUUUCCUACAGCGCGUGUUGUAACCAUUGGCAAGAUCGACCAGACGUCGUACCAUUUCACGGUCUGUCUGCGCGUUUGAAGUUGUUCGAAUAGCACCGUUCUUUUGAUAUGUAAGAAAAUAUAUCUGCGCGACCUAAUGCGGUCAAGAAAGAACAUGUUUGUCGCAUGUAGCCCGAAGAAUAUACCAUGUUUCUCGCUCAUGUUUCUUAUGUUUGGCCCGAAGAACAUGCCUCGAGUCUAACUCGUGUUUCUUAUGUUUGGCCAGAAAAACGUACCAUGACUCUAACUCGACGUUGUUGGUUAAGAGAUAAGUACAAUUAAAUAAAUAUUUUUAAAUGUUUCAAAUAUCUUCAAUAAGAAAUUUAGUUUCAUCAGAAUACAGAACUCUUAGAUACAAAUAAAUAAAACUAAGAUUUUUCUUGCCAUCUAUAACUUUUUCUAUAAUCACAAUUCAAAUUCACCUUAAUUUUGUUGCUGCUAAGUUUUAAUACCUGUAUUUGCACUGUAUUUUUAUGUGUCGAAUAGAGUGUUUAUAUUAAAAUAUAGUGCUAAAAAACAUAAAUUCCAGUAAAUUAAAACUAUUAAUAAGAGAAGAAAAUUAUAAAUAAUAAUACGUGCUAACU